rnacentral:tRNA from 1 species
CGCCUCCGUAGCUCAGCUGGACAGAGCAGCGGCCUUCUAAUCCGCCGGUCGCAGGUUCGAAUCCUGCCGGGGGCGCCCA